rnacentral:lncRNA from 1 species
GAACAAAGCCGACCUCCUCGCCCCGCCCCCUCCGUCCCGCCCGGGCUGCUCGCCCCGCCCCCGCGCGGCGCUGGGAGGCGGGAGCUGUCUCUGAGAACCUGCGGGAGAGCGCCCGGGCUUGCUGCUUCCCGGACCCGCGCGUCUCUCGAGCACCCUCGUCCCACCACCUUGUGAGGCCGUAGUGUUAUUUUUAUUUUUUAGAUCAGCAGACUGAGACUCGAGGUGACGUCACUCCGCAGAGAGGUUAGCUGACUUGAAGAAAACGGGUAUCUCCUCUUUCCAUUUCGCCCGUGUAAACAGCCGAACUGCCUAUUAUAAAAGCAUGGACUGCCAGCAUUGGAGUGGUCCUUAGAGGCCUAUUAUGAAAUCAUAGAAUGUCUGCAUUGGAAUCGCCUCACCUCCUUUUACCGCUGGAGAAGCCGACGGACAGACGGGCAGCGACCCCCGCCGUCGCACAACCCGUCUAGGCAGAGAGCGCAGGAGACGGGAGGGCGGCAGGGACACAUCUCCCAGCCAAGGACCUCCUGGGCCCGCAGAGGCCGCGACAGGUUCCCCCCACAGAGGGAACCAACUCUGCCGCAGGUUGAUGUGGACUUCAAGCCUGCAGAACGGAGAGCCCAUUUCCAUUGCUUAAAGCCACCUCGUUAGAGCACAGCAGACUGAGCCACCCAGAACUGGCCCCUCCGGUGGACCAGCCCCUGCGGAUUCACAGACCACUGGUCCUGGAAGGGACCUUGUCAAGCAGGCCCAUAAGGUAAUCCCUCCCCGGAAAGAGAAGAUCACAGAUUUUGUCAUAUUAAAUACAUUGUAGAAAUUCAUGGUAGCAGGGGCAAGAUCAUUUAAACAAAACAGAAAGUUUCAGAGAGAGAAAAAGCCAAGGACAAAGAUUAAUCAUUUUUCUGCUUAAAAAAAAUGGCUUUGAUUUGCAACCAUGGAAUGCUCCACUGUUUCUCUUCUCUUCAAAGACAUCUACUGAAAGGAUUCCUUAACCUUACCAAGUGGCCAAAAUACUUUUCUGAGAAGAGUCACAGAGCAUAGGCCCCCCUAGGGUACACAGAGAUUUCAUUAGUCCCUAGAUGUUUCCUGAUCCUUUUAAAAACUGGUUAAAUUCAGAGACUCUAGGCAAUUACUUCUUUCAGAACCUGUGAGGCAAAAACGAAAGAAGAAGGCAGGACACGCAGUGUAACAAACCUUGGAAUGGACUUCGCCAGACUUCAUCAGAAGAAAGCAGUGCAAGAGGGGACUGCAGAGGAAAGCUGGGGCUUGGGAAACCAGCAGCAGGGGCCACGUGGGCAGGUGGUUUCUGUGUGAACCUCUGAUCUGUGCAACAUAAACAGGAAAUGUUGAAGGCUUCCAGUGCUCUUUUUUGAUGUCGAGAACAUUCUACGGCACAAAAGAGUUUGCCUCUCACUGUUUCUCAUAUAUGGAGGUUUUCUAAUCAGCAUCCUGAACAGAAUUGAAUUAAAAAUAAAAACCAAAGUAAAACUAGCUUUAUCUCUAGAUUUUAAAAUUUUCAUUUUUUUUAGGGUGGC